AGCCGCCGCCGCCCCGGCGCAACUCAUUGCCGGAACUAAAAAAAGCAACCACUUCGUUGAACGGAACUGGCCAAUAGUGCCCUUGGCUCGGACUGAUGACGCACAGCAGACGCUGGAUUGCAGUGGGGAGACCUUGGCUCACUGGAACCUCUGCCUCCCGGGUUCAAGCGAUUCUCCUGCCUCAGCCUCCCAAGUAGAUGGGAUUACAGGAAAAAGCAAAGAGGAACUUUACAAACUAUUACAGUUUUCCAUCAUCACUUGACUGCUGACAAGAAGCCUCUUUGAAUUCCAGUAUACACGAUCACAUUUUAAAACCUUCAAGACGCCGUUUAAUCAGGAGUUGUAAGGCACAUUUGUUAGAGAGAGCUGCACUUUAAAAGUUAUACAGACAUCACCUGAAGUUAUUAAAGUUAUCAAAACAUAUUAAAAACCUUCAAGUAAGAGGCUACUCCCCAGGAAACGUGUGGAGCCAGUGAACGGAAGAAAAACAAUGGAAGGAAGGCUUGAAAAGUCCAUUACAAAACUACAGUCCUUUGAAAAAGAUUUCAAAGAUAUUAAAAUGAAAACUGAUUACAUUAAACAAUAA